AGCGAACGCUGGCGGCAUGCCUAACACAUGCAAGUCGAGCGCUCCCAGCAAUGGGGGAGCGGCGGACGGGUGAGUAACGCGUAGGAACGUAUCCUGAGGUGGGGGAUAACCCUGGGAAACUAGGGCUAAUACCGCAUGAUGGCGAGAGCCCAAAGAUUUAUCGCCUUGGGAGCGGCCUGCGUCUGAUUAGCUUGUUGGUGGGGUAACGGCCUACCAAGGCGAUGAUCAGUAGCUGGUCUGAGAGGAUGAUCAGCCACACUGGGACUGAGACACGGCCCAGACUCCUACGGGAGGCAGCAGUGGGGAAUAUUGGACAAUGGGCGAAAGCCUGAUCCAGCAAUGCCGCGUGGAUGAAGAAGGUCUUCGGAUUGUAAAGUCCUUUUCGGCGGGGACGAUGAUGACGGUACCCGCAGAAGAAGCCCCGGCUAACUUCGUGCCAGCAGCCGCGGUAAGUGCGACGACA
rnacentral:rRNA from 1 species